GAUGAACGCUGGCGGCGUGCCUAAUACAUGCAAGUCGAGCGAAUGGAUUAAGAGCUUGCUCUUAUGAAGUUAGCGGCGGACGGGUGAGUAACACGUGGGUAACCUGCCCAUAAGACUGGGAUAACUCCGGGAAACCGGGGCUAAUACCGGAUAACAUCUUGAACCGCAUGGUUCGAAAUUGAAAGGCGGCUUCGGCUGUCACUUAUGGAUGGACCCGGGUCGCAUUAGCUAGUUGGUGAGGUAACGGCUCACCAAGGCAACGAUGCGUAGCCGACCUGAGAGGGUGAUCGGCCACACUGGGACUGAGACACGGCCCAGACUCCUACGGGAGGCAGCAGUAGGGAAUCUUCCGCAAUGGACGAAAGUCUGGCGGAGCAACGCCGCGUGAGUGAUGAAGGCUUUCGGGUCGUAGAACUCUGUUGUUAGGGAAGAACAAGUGCUAGUUGAAUAAGCUGACACCUUGACGGUACCUAACCAGAAAGCCACGGCUAACUACGUGCCAGCCGCCGCAGUAA
rnacentral:rRNA from 1 species